ensembl:lncRNA
CCCUGUGGUCUUAUUGUAGGUGAGCACCAAUGGGAUCAUCUCCACCCAGGACUUACCCAGGGAGACUUAAUAUGUCGUUGAUGAUUUUCCUACUGACUUCCCAGCCAUCGCCCCAUUCCUGGCUGACAUCCACUCGAGUCACAGCAGUGGCCGGAUCCUGUAUGGAGGACACCUCCUGGGCUGUGCUGAGUCUGGCUGCUUGCUACCUGUGCACAGGCUUCCCCCCUACCCACUUCUUCCUGGCCACCUGGGAGCAAGUGGGCGCCUAGGAGGAGGACAGGCUUGGUUGGGGCUGAGUGGCCUGGAGAGCUGAACACUUUCCAGGCCGUUCUGGCAUCCGAUGAAUGUGAUUCCUAUGCCCUCUUUCUCUAUCCUGCCAAUGGUCUUCAGUUUUUGGAACUCACCCCAAAGAAUCCUACAGUGUCCAGCUGCAGCUUCCUGCUAAGGUGGGAUUCUGCCAAGGGGAAGCAGAUGACGUGAAGAGAAAAGCCCUGUAUUUCAGCCUGACUAACAGUGAGCAGAUAUGGAGACUUCGAUGGUUUUAAUCUGGAGGAUGCGCUGAAAGAAACUUCCUCAGUAAAGCGUGACUCAAACAAACAAGUCCACCAAGCAAACACAAGUGGUCGGCCAUGCACCACACUGACAAUCUUGCCUUCAGAAAAGUACACGCAUAUGAGACUAGCUGUGCCUCCAUCUACCUGUUUGUUCUGUUGUGCAAGGCUUGUGUCGUCUCGUCAUACGUGUGUCAUCUUCCUUUUUCAUUUAGAAAAUUUCACAAUUUUCAUUAUGUUGAAACCACAAGAGAACAUGCAUCUGCCUUCGCCUUUUUUCUGCUGUACAAAAAGAGAACUCCGACCCGUUUCAUUCCUCUCACUGUUUUGUUUUGAGACAGGGUCUCUUGAUUUAGCCCGAGUUGUCCUGAAAUUCUCUGUGCCGAGAAGCCCGGCUUUGACUUGGGUCCAGUGCUAGAGCAACAGUGACUCUUGGCCACUGAUGUGCAUUUCUAGCUUCAGAACCCAUGACUUUUUAUGAUUCUUCAGUGUGAUCCCCACAAUGGCCUCGGGGACCUAUACUGAGACCAUUCUCACGAUGUGACUUCUGUAAACCAUAAAGCAGCCACUGUGUUUUACAAUCUGCUUCCUUUCGUCCUCCCUUCUCCCUUCAGAGAGCCACUUUAGCACCACGACUAGAAGGACAGGAACAACCAGAGCCUCAUCAAAUCCAGCAGGUAAUGAGGUGUGGGAAGUGAGGAAGGCCAGACUCACCUGAGAAGGGACACAAGGAGGGACUCAUUAGGACUCCAUCUGGGACAGGGUCAAAAGGAGCCAUGUAGAAUUUUUAGCUGCACAUAUGAAAAGUUAGCAAAGGCACCCAUGUGAAUGUUAGAUUUAAUUCAACAGAAUCCCAUCUGGUUGGUCACUGUGCCUUACGUGAAAGCCAUGCGUUUCCACUUCCCUAUUGCUUUGGGUGACGAUGGCUGCCAGAAUCCAGGUACAGGAGGCGGAAGGGGUGAGCUGAAAUUGACUUAAGCCCCAGCCUAUCCCCAUAGCUCCCAGGUUAAACAUGAGCCAUUCAUAGUCGAGCAGAGUUGGGCAACCUGAGGCCUAAGGAGAAGUCUUCAACGAAGAUAUUCAGACGUUUUCAUGAUAUUCUCUAAGUUUUUGAAGAUCUCGGGAGAGUUUGUGUAUGUGGGUCACAUCUAUAAAUACUUCUCAUCUGAGAACUUAGAACUAAAAACUGAUAUUAAUCCGAGGAAAAUAAAAAGCCAUAUGCAUUGACAUAUGUGGUGUGCUUUUAUGAGAAGUAACUGUUCUUAUAAGGUGAAAACAUAAUUUAGAGUAAUGAAUGACAUUAUUUUAUAGUUUUCUGUAAUGUCUGGCUUCAAUAGAAUUCAUCUGGAUUCUUGGUGUGUGUGUGUGUGUG